rnacentral:misc_RNA from 1 species
UUUCCGUAGGUGAACCUGCGGAAGGAUCAUUAUUGUAUAACCGAGGUGCGAGGGCUGUCGCUGACCCGAAAGGACGUGCACGCCCUAGUGCCCUCACACGCGUCCAUCUCACCCCUAUGUGCACCACCGCGUGGGUCCCCCUUUGGCUUGUUCGGAGGGCUGCUUACGUUUUCACACAAACUUUGUAUGCUGUGUAGAAUGUAGUUUUUGUUUUUGUGAUUACGCAAUCAAUACAACUUUCAACAACGGAUCUCUUGGCUCUC